UGAGGAAUAUUGGUCAAUGGGCGCAGGCCUGAACCAGCCAAGUCGCGUGAGGGAAGACGGUCCUACGGAUUGUAAACCUCUUUUGUCGGGGAGUAACGUGCGGGACGGGUCCCGUAUUGAGAGUACCCGAAGAAAAAGCAUCGGCUAACUCCGUGCCAGCAGCCGCGGUAAUACGGAGGAUGCGAGCGUUAUCCGGAUUUAUUGGGUUUAAAGGGUGCGUAGGCGGAAAGUUAAGUCAGCGGUAAAAUCGAGAGGCUCAACCUCUUUCAGCCGUUGAAACUGGUUUUCUAGAGUGAGUGAGAAGUACGCGGAAUGCGAGGUGUAGCGGUGAAAUGCAUAGAUAUCACGCAGAACUCCAAUUGCGAAGGCAGCGUACCGGCACUCAACUGACGCUGAAGCACGAAAGCGUGGGGAUCGAAC
rnacentral:rRNA from 1 species